UGUAGGAGUGCAUCGCCACCUUCCCCACACGUUUAUUUUGCUUUCACUCCUCCGGGCACUUUCUAGUUCUGAGUUGUCAGCUGGGAGGAUUGGGUUUACCUCGCUCGUGUUGCUGUGGGUAAGGGCGGGAGAGGGGGCGUAUUACAUAAUUAAUCCUUCCAACUUCACUUUCCGCAGCUCCAUCUCCAGCCCACUGUUCUCACGUUUCUGUUUUGUUUUUAUACGGAGGAGGUGAGAAAAUAAUGCUGGUGUGUGGGUGUGUGUUGCUCGAAGGAUUUCAAGGACCAGAACAGGAUUGCUGCUCUCUGAACAGUUUCAAAUUAUUUCCUCUGGGGGUGCCAAUGGAGACCUGAAGAAGAGAGCCAACCAGAAAGAGCUCAUCACAUGCUAAGGAUAACACAGGCCCUGAGGCCAGUACCUGGUGCUUCAGAAGGAGAUGCAAGAAGCUUCAGAUGAAACAGCUAAAGAAUUACUUUCUCAAAGAGAAGGUUACUAGAUUCCCUGCAACUUUUCUCUCAUCCUGGAUUAAAGAUGGCUUUCAUCCAGAAACACAUGGGCUUUUAACUCUUUUCUAGUUCUGUUUCUAAAACCCUUCACAUGUGUUAAUCAAAGCCAUCAAGGAAUGAUGUUUAUCAUGCUUAUCAAGGAAACAGAUUUAGAAAUCCUGUAACUCUAUGUUUUGAUUUGGUAGUUUGGGGCUUUUUGGUUGGUUGGGGCUUUUGGUUUUUUGGUGUUUUUUUUUGUUCUUCAUAGUUAAAGUCUGUUUCUGCUGGUCACUGUUGGCUGCAAAUCUUGUGCCUUGACAGAGCCAAUUUUUGUUUCUUGACACAAGAUGCCUCUGACACUUCUCUGAAAGAGCUGCAGCUGUGCAGUUACAUACCUGUGAGUGGGUAUGUGAACAUGUGUAUCAAUCUGUCCUCCCUGCUUUGUAUCAUCUGCAAAAUUGCUGAGGGUGCACUCUGUCCAACUGCCCAACUCAUUUUUGAAAAUGCUAACUUGUGCUGUACAAGAGAUGGGUGACAUCAAUCAUCAUUUUCCACCACUGCAGUGAAGAAUGAUAGGUAACAAUAGCAAAGGUUUUCCAUAACAAAGAGCAUUUUAGCAAAUCUAUCAUCUAUUUUACCGGCAAACACGUUUUCUGCAGUGACAGAAUUCUCUUGGGAACAGUCUUAUAAAUAAGAGCAUGUUCUUCUCAGAAAACAAACAAACAAACAAAAAAAACCCAAACAAAAAAACCUAAAAGACCACCAAGAAACAAAGUGGUGGGUGCAGGACAAAGAAACUAUGUUAAGAACUGACUUUGCAGAAACUAGGAGUCAGCAACAACUCUUCCAGGCACUGAUGCCCUAUGCCUACUAAUGUAUCUACACCAAAAAGUUAUAAAAAACAACUAAUUGCUUACUCAAAAUGAACCUUUCUGCAAGAGCUUCAUUGCAUGAGAUCUCCCAGACAAGACAGGACCCUUGCUGGGGAAGCCUGGCUGACUCCAGACUCUGUGAUAUCAGUAAUCUUUAAAGUGAGACUUCUGUUCUUGAUUAGCCUCACUCAUGAGCGAAUUUUCUUGAGUGUCAUACUAGUAACACUUCCUAUAAUACAUAGUAAGUAGAAAGCAAUUGUCUGAGUUUUAAGUCACAUUCCUUAGAAUGUUAAUAAAACAUUUGAGCAGGGGGAAGAAUAUAAUGAAAAGGCCUUACAAAGCCAGAACAGUUUUUGGAAUUAAUUAAAAGCUCAGGAAAUUUGUCCUGCUGGAAGUCUUCCUAACCUCUCUGCAGAUUUACACAUUAUAAUAAAUUACCAGCUGCAUCUGAAGAGUCCCCUCUAUCUCUACAAGUGUAAAAUGACAUGUUAUACCUUUGCUGAACUUGAGACCCCAACGUUAAGUGCAAGGUUCACAAAACCCUUGAAGUUUCACCCUCAAAUUGUAUUGAACCCAGAACAUUUCAAUACCACAUUCAUUUACUGGUCUAAAGCAAGACAGCUGGCUAAUGAGGAGAGGUCAGUCACAGGCAUAAGAAGAGGCUGUGUGAGUAGCAUGAGAACUAAAGUGCUGAACUAGUGACCCAGAGAUAUGGUGGGGAACCAAAAGGGGCUGGGACUACAUGGUCUUUAAGGUCCAUUCCAAUCCCUUAACAUUCUAUGAUUGCCUGAUUCUAAAAUUCUAUGAUUCUGUGAUUCUGUGUUGUGUUUCACUGGAAUUGAUCUGAUCCUUGAUUUCAGUAAAGAACCAUCUUUCCAGGCCAUCAUUUUCUGAAAGCUCUAGUUUUCACUUGCCCUAAGUGAGCUGGUGGCUUACUAAGUGAGCUGGUGGCUUACUUACAUUAUUCUUCAGAGACAGAGGCUCCCCUGAAGCACCUGCAGGGAAAAAGCACAUGUGCUCCUCCCAUUCAGAUGCUGGUGUAUCCAAGAGGAUGGAAUUUUAAAAUCAAUGUAACAUAUUUCAAUGAAAAUCUCCUGGAUGUGGUACUUGAUGCACAUUUCAUGGAAUGAUUUCAUUUUGUGUGCGAGCAACAGUAACAACAGACUAGUAAAUGAUUUGACUCUUAUUGUACUGGCUAAUGAAGAUGAUUACACAGCUGUCAAAGAACUGGGACUUGGACCUGCCCAUUUUCUCAUGCAUUUCAAACACCAAUGUUACUGGUCAAAAAGCACACACUAUAGAAAUAUUCUAGUAUGCUAAGAUGCUGUAAUUAUUACUUGUAGAUAAAAACCUCAUGUGUUCCAGGACACUGGCACUCCACAACAAUUUAAAUUUGUGGGAAAAAUGCAAAAUGAUUCUUACUCUGCUUCCUAGACUAGGAAAAAUAGUUAAAUUUCUUUUGCAACAUGUUAGUGAUAAAAUUAUCUGUUCCUCUGAUAAUUAAGGGCAAUUAAGGAUCAUAGACUCUGUAUCAUUGAUAGAUCAAUAGUACAUGUACUAUGUCAUUAGCAAAAAACCCUUUUUAUACAUUUUCUGCCUGACCUGUGUUAAUGACUUUGAUGACUAAACCCUUCUGCUCCUUAUGGAGAGCUGACUAUUGUAAAGGGCUGAAUAAAGUCCAGUUUUGUUCACAACUUUCCCUCCAUGCAAAAGUAGUGUUAAAAACCAGAGAAUUUCCAGCAGAUGGCAAACAAGUUGAUUAGUGUCCAAGAUCAUUAGGUGGCACGUGACAUGCAACAAAAAACAAGAGACCUGCUAUUCUUUGGCUUAAAGAGAAGAAAGCUCAGGACAGGUGGGGCUAGGGGAGGUGUGAUUCCAACCUUUCACUACCAAAAAAGACAGAUGUAGGGAAAUAGAGACAGUGCAUGCCAUAAUGACAAGAUGGAAUGGUUACAGGUUGCAGGAAUAAAAGGAAAAGAACUUGCCCUUGAGGGUCCCACUGUGCCAGAACAGAAAGUGCUCAGAAAGACUGUGGAAUCUCCCUCCUUGAAGGCUUCCAAUUCUCAGAUGGUGCUUACUCCAAGCCAAGGACCUUUCCACUUCCCAUGCUCUACCAGCAAGGAGGUGAACAAGAAGCCAUGGGGAAGCACACCUGGGACAAUUGACAUUAACUGGCCAACAGGAUAUCCCACACCACAAAACAUCAUCUUCAGAAUAUAAAAUGGGAGGAGCUGGACGGACAGAACUAAUCACUGCCCAAGGACAGGCUGAGCAUCGCUCAGCAGCUGCAUAAGGGGGAAAGUUCCUCCCUCCCUCCCUCCCUCCCUCUCCACCUGAAAAAGAGAUGCUGGCAGUAGAAGAAUACGAAGGAGUUACAGUAGAAGGUGGCAAAAGAAGGGAAAGACGAAAGCAGUAGAAGACAAGGAGAAGGGGAGGAAGAACAGGGUGGAAUAAGGUGGCAGAACAUGUCAGAAGGUGGUAUUGGAAGAACAGGAAGAGGAGGAAUAGGGCUGUGGAUGAUGUGCAGUAGAAGAUGACAGAGGAAGGGAGAGAAGGAGACAGCAAAAGAAGUCACUGGAAGACGAAAAAGAGGAGGUGACUGAUGAAGGUGGCAAAAGAAUACGGCAGGAGAAGGUGGCAAUGGAAAAGUUUUUCAGUGAUGAAGAAAAGCAGCAUAACUAGGGAAGGAAAAGACAGAGAAGACAGUGGAAAAAGAAUUUUAAAAAGAGGAGUCAAUGGAAGAGGUAGUGGACGAAGAUAUCAGAAGGGGAAAAGGAUGAUUAGGUGACUUAAGGAGACCACAGCAGUUUGUGGCAGCAAAUGGUAGUGGAAGAAGACAAGAAGCUCUCCUUGGGGAGCGUUUUUAACCAUCCCAAAGCCUCUCCUUUCCCUCUGACUCUGCUCUUCCCUCUCCUACUUUCCCAGUUCCUUCUCUACCACAACUGGAGACUGUAUCUUGGUUGCCACAGCCUUGCUUGGCCACAGUCCACUCUAGAUGCCUGGUUUCUGUGCUUCAGAAAAGGAAGCAAGAAGAGGGCAGGAAGAAAUUAUACCAAGGCAACUGGAGACAUUCCAGGACACAGGGAAAUUUUGCUCAAAGCCUGGAGAAGAAAAUCUGCAUCACCAUCAGUUGCUCUCUAGAUCAGAUUUAAAUAAUGAUGCAAGCAAUAUAGAAACAAGCGUUAGAGGAAUGAAGACAUAAGCAUCUCUAUCUAGGACACCAAGAAUCUAUGUCUUUGUCAAGGGCAGAAAUAAAAGAAAAGCAUUCUGGCCAUAGGUGAAAGAGAAAUACAGGCAGAGAGAACAAGGCAAGAGGCGAUGACGGCAGUUUUGUUCAGGUGUGGAGAGCUGGAAGAUAAGAAGCUUAGGAGAAUAUCCCAGCUUGUCCCAGAAAGGAGACAGGUGGGAAGAGAGCAUCAAUGCAACCACCACCACCAAGUUCUGUGAGGUAUAAAAGGACUACCCUCAGAAACUCCUCCUGAUUUAUGCUCCUAGGAAGCUUUAUCUCUAUCAGCCUAUGGUUUUACCAGGUUCCUUUUUCCCAGGAUCUUGCAUCAGCCUGGAUAAAUGUAUAUCCUUUAUCUGAGCCCAGUGUUGAUACAGCUGACCAAAAUACUUGAACUAGGAACAUAGAGUUCCAAAAAAAUAAGCUGCCAUUGCUUGUCCAUUGAUAAUACCUAACACAGCUGUGCCCUUCACCAGUCCUCCUCCUCCUUCCUUUGCCCCUGGAGCUACCAGCUUUCUACUGCAGCAUCACUGCAUGAAAUGAGAAAUUUGUUUACAGCAAUGGAUGUACACCCUUGAGUGUAUUCAUUGAAAGACCCUGCAAAAAAGAUUACAAUGGGUCUACGGAAUGUUCAACAGCACAAUUGAUUACAGACCUUGUCUAUGCCAAUGGCAUGUUUUGGACAAUAAAAUUAGAAAUUUCAAACUAAACACUUUAGUAAAUGGGAAAUUUUUAAGGAGCUAUAAGCCAGAUCUUUGGCUGUGAAUUUUAGCAGUAGCCUGGGAAGAGGUCAGGAGUCUCCUCUUGCUGAUUUAAGCAAGUAGCAUAGGAAAACUCACAGAUCAUGUUCCUCUUGGGGAUUAUCAGCCAGCCCUAUAGGAUGAAUUUCCUGCUUUUAAAAAUAACUUAGAAGUCAAAGAUUAGGGUAGAUUAAAUAAGUACAAAGAAAAACAAUAAAAAGUACCAAGAUAAAGGCAGAUACGGUCAGGCUGCCUGAUUCAAAUGCUCACUUCCUAAUACACAUAAAAUUUGUGUGGAUAUUAAACCAAAUGUAAAGCUCCAUGACAGGAAGGAAAGGGAAGCAGUCUUAGCCCAAGGGUUACCUUAUAUGAGAACUAUAGGUCA